AGCGAACGCUGGCGGCAGGCUUAACACAUGCAAGUCGAGCGGGCACUUCGGUGUCAGCGGCAGACGGGUGAGUAACACGUGGGAACGUACCCUUUGGUUCGGAAUAACGCUGGGAAACUAGCGCUAAUACCGGAUACGCCCUUUUGGGGAAAGGCUUGCUGCCGAAGGAUCGGCCCGCGUCUGAUUAGCUAGUUGGUGGGGUAAUGGCCUACCAAGGCGACGAUCAGUAGCUGGUCUGAGAGGAUGAUCAGCCACACUGGGACUGAGACACGGCCCAGACUCCUACGGGAGGCAGCAGUGGGGAAUAUUGGACAAUGGGCGCAAGCCUGAUCCAGCCAUGCCGCGGGAGUGAUGAAGGCCUUAGGGUUGUAAAGCUCUUUUGUCCGGGACGAUAAUGACGGUACCGGAAGAAUAAGCCCCGGCUAACUUCGG
rnacentral:rRNA from 1 species